UACGUAGGGGGCUAGCGUUGUCCGGAAUCAUUGGGCGUAAAGCGCGUGUAGGCGGUCCGGUAAGUCCGCUGUGAAAGUCGGGGGCUCAACCCUCGGAUGCCGGUGGAUACUGGAUGGCUUGAGUUCGGGAGAGGGAUGUGGAAUUCCAGGUGUAGCGGUGAAAUGCGUAGAUAUCUGGAGGAACACCGGUGGCGAAGGCGGCAUCCUGGACCGACACUGACGCUGAGGAGCGAAAGCCAGGGGAGCAAACGGG
rnacentral:rRNA from 1 species